rnacentral:rRNA from 1 species
UACGUAGGGUGCGAGCGUUGUCCGGAAUUAUUGGGCGUAAAGAGCUUGUAGGCGGUCUGUCGCGUCUGCUGUGAAAAUCCGGGGCUCAACCCCGGACUUGCAGUGGGUACGGGCAGACUAGAGUGUGGUAGGGGAGACUGGAAUUCCUGGUGUAGCGGUGAAAUGCGCAGAUAUCAAGAGGAACACCGAUGGCGAAGGCAGGUCUCUGGGCCACUACUGACGCUGAGAAGCGAAAGCAUGGGGAGCGAACAGG